rnacentral:other from 1 species
CGAAUCCUGAAGUGUUUGUGAAUGCUACAAACUAACAGUUUUGACCGAACACCAAUAAAAAGGGAGCUCAAAUUUUGACUUGGCAAACAUGCCCCGUAGGAACGAAGAUUGGGGGACGUUUAAAGAGUCAGUGAGGGCACCCACCUGCGAGUUAGCGGGUUCAAAACGAUCGUUAAUUGAGCACUGCGGCAUCUUCGGGAUUCGU